rnacentral:rRNA from 1 species
UACGGGGGGGGCAAGCGUUGUUCGGAAUUACUGGGCGUAAAGGGCUUGUAGGUGGCCAACUAAGUCAGACGUGAAAUCCCUCGGCUUAACCGGGGAACUGCGUCUGAUACUGGAUGGCUGGAGUGUGGGAGAGGGAUGCGGAAUUCCAGGUGUAGCGGUGAAAUGCGUAGAUAUCUGGAGGAACACCGGUGGCGAAGGCGGUUCUCUGGGCCUGUACUGACGCUGAGGAGCGAAAGCGUGGGGAGCGAACAGG